ACCCUCAGGGUGUGCUCAGCACCUCCAUUUUGGACCUUGCCAAGGCCUGUAGGCUGGUUACACCUGCACAGAAUGACUAUUAGUGCACCUUUUCCUAAUCACCACUCUUCCUGCUCCCCAUACUCCCCACACCUCAGACCACUCUGCUUCUUUACUGGUUAUCCCAUCAAUGCCCCAGCCUCUGCUCCUGUGGUGGGGGUGGAGUGCAUCUGUGACGUGUUUUCCGGUUUCUUCACCUGGCCGCUUUGCCAGUAAACCCUCUCUUUGCUGCAAACCUCGACAUUUCAGCACUUCGGCUUGCUGCAAGUCAGGAAGAAGAAACCUGGGGCGCAACAUUACAUUGCGUCGUCAUGUCUUUUUAUGCUCUUCUUGGCUAUGACAAGUAAUGCUGUUUUGUCUGGAAAGUUGCUGACCUUGUAGCCCAGCCAAUAUUUUGGUGAAGAAGUAGAAGUUCCUGGAUGAAGGCUUGUGGUCAAGAAUGGAACUGAAGGCUUGCCUCAACAUCUUGGCAUAAAAAAAAAAGUCUUGGUCAGGAGGUUCUCCUCCACGUGGUAAUCCAUGGAUCCAGUCUCCAACCAACUCAUGGCUGUAUAUCUGUCUGGCUGGUAAACAAAAAGAAAGAACAUGCAGAAUGCAGCCCUUGUUCAAUGACACUAAAGGAAGAUAGAAGACUUCAGGAGAAAAUGCAAGCCUAUCUCUAUUAGCUGUGGUGCAACGGCCGAAGCAGCAACUCCAAGGUGAUUUGGUGUUCUGCAGUGUAACUUGAACAUUUAGUCUUAAACAAAUGAAUAGCCUGAAAGCAGAGAAUCAAUAGUUCUCUGAGAACAGUGUUUGCAUUUUCCUUCCGAUUAUGGCAUUCUCCCAAUAACUUAGAUUUCCUUUAAUGACAGUGAUCUUGGGCAGCUUCAGAUGCUCUGACCCAGUGCCCAACCAGAUCUUAUUAAAACUUUUGUUAUUUGUGUACACUACAGUUUAUGUGCUAUCUGCAUAAUGUCCCUUUUCCUGGUAGGAAGAAAAUCACAGACAAAUGCGUUAGAAUGUAUUAUGUUAUAAUUCAUGUCUAAGAAAUUUUGAGGUAUUUGGUUCUAAAACACCUUGUACUAAUUUCUCAGUUAUCCCAGUACUUCCUCAAACCUCCUUAAAUGUUAUGAUUUUGGUCCCUACCAAGCAUGGUUAUCAAUGACUCUGUGAUUUCUUCUAAUAGGCAAAAUGCAAUAGGUAUAUUAAAAUAUAAGCCUAAGUCAUUUACAGCUUGACUUGUAUGGCUUUUGAUUCCUUUUGAACACCUGUCGACACGUACCAGUGGACACCCUGAAUCUCAAGUGGUGAGAAUAGCACAUGGUUCAAGUGGACCUCUGCCAACUCUGCUGCCAGAGUCCCAGUACAGUGGAUGGUUAAAACCACAUAUGGUUCAACCAGAUUCUAUGGGGCAGAAUGGGAAAGACAGACUUCUGGGCCUGUCAUAGAACAAAGAUCCAACCAGACAGCCAUUUUCAGGGCUGCCAAGAGUAUUAUUCAGAGAGAUGUGCACAGCAAUAAGAGACAGGCAAGUUACCCAUUUUGAGAUCCAAGAAAACGAAGUUUGUCAGCUAUGCACCCCAUGCCAUGGUAAUAGGUAAGCUCUUUGGUCGCAUUUUCAAGGAGAUGUGUUUGCUUGCUUUAGCCUCUAUUCCAAUCUCCUGAUUGCAAUUUAAGAGAAAUGAAAAAAUCUAGCU